rnacentral:misc_RNA from 1 species
UCCGAUAAAGCUUCCCCCUGCU